AAGUCGUAACAAGGUUUCCGUAGGUGAACCUGCGGAAGGAUCAUUAACACGCUCUUGAAUCCAUUAUUCAAACCCAAACGCGAACCUUUCUCCUACCUAUAUGAGACACUGUCUCUAUAGGCUAACCGCUUGUGUGGUUUCAUUCCACAGAGGCGUUACACCCCUUUUUUUACCCCAAUCUUCAACCCCUUCUCUAUCAGUUCCUUCAGGCGCUUGACCGCUCGCAGUGAACUGAACCUCCUUGAGCCUGCGCCUUCGCAGGUUCCAUGUGAUUCUCUUACGAGCAUCAUGAAUACAAAUAGUUGUAACAACACAACUCUUAGCAAUGGAUAUCUAGGUUCUC
rnacentral:misc_RNA from 1 species